UUGUAAAAUAUUAUUUUAUUUAUAUAAAAUUUUAUAGAAUUAACAAAAAAAAUUAUAAGAUUAAGUAAAACAUUAGAAAAAUUAAUUUUUAAUAAUAGAGAAUUAGUAUUGAAAAAGAAAUAUUUCUUAAUUAAGAUAGAAAAAUUGAAUUUGUACCUUGUGUAUCAGGGUUUAUUAAAUAAAAAAAAUAAUAUUUUUUCUCGAAUUUAAAAGAGCUAAUAUAAAAUAUAUUUUAUUGUAGAAUAAAUAUUUAAAAUUUUAUUUUAGAAAUGAAACGUUUUUCGUUUUUAAUAUAUCUAGUUAUUUAAGAAAAAAAUUUAAUUUUUUUAUUAUAAAUAUAAUUUUUUUAUUAUUUAAUGUUAAUAAUAGAUUAUUUAAAAGGGGAUAAGCUUUUUUAAAGAGAUUGAUAAAUUUUUAGAAAUUAUAAAAUAUAUAAGAUUAGAAGUGUUUAAUAUUAAAAUAAUGUUAUAAUUAAUUAAAAUUGAAAAAUAAUUUUUAUUAAAUUUUCAUUUAUUUAUUAAAUUUUAAAUUAAAAUAAAAUUUAUUUAGUAAAAAUGAUAAAAUUAGUAAAAUUUUAAUUUGAGAAAUAUUAAAUUUAGUAAGGUUAUUUUAAAGAAUUCGGCAAAUUAUUUUUUACCUGUUUAAUAAAAACAUGUCCUAUUGAUUUUAAUUUUAGGUCUAGCCUGCCCACUGAUGUAAAAAUUAAAGGGCCGCGGUAUUUUGACCGUGCUAAGGUAGCAUAAUCAUUAGUUUUUUAAUUGAAAGCUGGAAUGAAUGGUUGGAUAAGAAAAUAACUGUUUCAAAUUAAUUUUUUUUGAAUUUUAUUUUUAAGUCAAAAAGCUUAAAUAAUUUUAAAAGACGAGAAGACCCUAUAGAGUUUAAUAUUUUUUUAAAAAAAGAAUUUUAGAAUUAAUCAAAUAUUUUUUUAAAAAAAUAUUUGAUUGGGGUGAUUGAAAAAUUGAAUUAACUUUUUUAAUAUUAAACCAUAAAUUAAUGAAUUUUUGAUCCGAUUAUAUUGAUUAUUAGAUUAAAUUACCUUAGGGAUAACAGCGUAAUUUUUAUUUAGAGUUCAAAUUAAAAUAAAAGAUUGCGACCUCGAUGUUGGAUUAAAUUUAAUUUUUGGUGCAGAAGUUAAUAAAAUUGGGUCUGUUCGACCUUUAAAAAUUUACAUGAUCUGAGUUUAAACCGGUGUGAGCCAGGUUGGUUUCUAUCUUUAAAAAUAAAUAUAUUUUAGUACGAAAGGACCAAAUAUAUAAUAAAAUAUUUUAUUAAGAAUUUUAUUAUUA
rnacentral:rRNA from 1 species